rnacentral:rRNA from 1 species
UACACUCCUACGGGAGGCAGCAGUGGGGAAUAUUGCACAAUGGGCGCAAGCCUGAUGCAGCCAUGCCGCGCGUGUGAAGAAGGCCUUCGGGUUGUAAAGCACUUUCAGCGGGGAGGAAGGCAAUGCGGUUAAUAACCGUGUUGAUUGACGUUACCCGCAGAAGAAGCACCGGCUAACUCCGUGCCAGCAGCCGCGGUAAUACGGAGGGUGCAAGCGUUAAUCGGAAUUACUGGGCGUAAAGCGCACGCAGGCGGUCUGUCAAGUCGGAUGUGAAAUCCCCGGGCUCAACCUGGGAACUGCAUUCGAAACUGGCAGGCUUGAGUCUUGUAGAGGGGGGUAGAAUUCCAGGUGUAGCGGUGAAAUGCGUAGAGAUCUGGAGGAAUACCGGUGGCGAAGGCGGCCCCCUGGACAAAGACUGACGCUCAGGUGCGAAAGCGUGGGGAGCAAACAGGAUUAGAAACCCGAGUAGUCCCA